UCUUGUAGGGAAUGGGAUCUGUUGAAACGAAAUUAUGGAAGGCAGUUGAGGCGGUGGAUGAGCCUUUUAUCACAAGUGAGGAAGUAGAUUUUGAUUCUGUUAUAUCUCCAGUCCAUUCUUUGUUAUUGAAGGCGGUUGAAAUGCCAGUUGAACCACAGUUAAUAGCUAUAUCCCCUGUGGGGUAAUUAUCUGCGGAAUGAACUGCUAAGGUGCAAAGAAGAGGAUAAAGGAAGAAGAAGACUAGAUUAAACAUUUGGGAUAAACUGGAGGGAGGGGAUGCUGAUGACAUGUUUGGUAUAGAAAUGGAUGGCGUUGAGGAAAAGAAAAAAAGCUCAAACUUUUCCAGUCCUCUCUGCUAAAGAAAGGCAACAAGCAGUUUGUUUUGUCAAAGUCAAUUCUCCC
rnacentral:lncRNA from 1 species